rnacentral:rRNA from 1 species
GACCUUCGGGUCACUAAGAGAGUGGCGAACGGGUGCGUAACACGUGAGAAACCUACCCCGAAGACGGGAAUAGCCCGAGGAAACUCGGAUUAAUACCCGAUAUCUCCACACUGUCGCAUGGCAGAGUGAAGAAAGUUCAGGCGCUUCGGGAGGGUCUCGCGGCCUAUCAGCUUGUUGGUGAGGUAACGGCUCACCAAGGCAUCGACGGGUAGCUGGUCUGAGAGGAUGAUCAGCCACACUGGGACUGAGACACGGCCCAGACUCCUACGGGAGGCAGCAGUAGGGAAUCUUGCGCAAUGGGCGAAAGCCUGACGCAGCAACGCCGCGUGGGGGAUGAAUGCCUUCGGGUUGUAAACCCCUUUCAGCAGGGACGAAAUUGACGGUACCUGCAGAAGAAGGUCCGGCCAACUACGUGCCAGCAGCCGCGGUAAUACGUAGGGACCAAGCGUUGUCCGGAAUUAUUGGGCGUAAAGAGCUCGUAGGCGGUUCAGUAAGUCGGGUGUGAAAACUCAAGGCUCAACCUUGAGACGCCACUCGAUACUGCUGUGACUUGAGUCCGGUAGAGGAGUGUGGAAUUCCUGGUGUAGCGGUGAAAUGCGCAGAUAUCAGGAGGAACACCAGCGGCGAAGGCGGCACUCUGGGCCGGUACUGACGCUGAGGAGCGAAAGCAUGGGGAGCAAACAGGAUUAGAUACCCUGGUAGUCCAUGCCGUAAACGUUGGGCACUAGGUAUGGGACCAUAUCAACGGGUUCCGUGCCGUANCUAA